UCGCGCCUAGCUCGGCUCUUCCGCUCUCCCCACGAGCCCUUUUCCCGCCAUUCCUCCCGCAGGCCGCCCCGCUUCUUCCUGGGCCAGUCUAUCCCCCCUGCCUCCACCCCAGUCCUUUCUGUUUCUCGAGCACCUUCCUUGGUGGUCCCGGCGCUCCCGAGCUGCUCUCCCCGUCACCCCGCACAAGGGAAGUGGCCCCCAGAGGACAGCGCAGGGUCCCGGGGGGGGCCGAAAAUGAAGCUGCGCACAGGGCCCCACUAACUCUAAAUCCACCACUGACCCUAGUGGAGCCGAAGGAGCCAAGCCACCUCUGACGCCCUCUCCACAUCACCCUUCAACUCGCGAUGCAGCUCUUGAAGACUUCCCAGGUGGUGGGGACUUCCCAAGCUGACUAUAUAUGCAAGCUUUUGUAACUUCCAGUGCUAAGCUCUAGAUUUCAAUUUUCCUAUAAGUAAAAUGUGUGUAAUAAUUACA